CGAGCGGAUGAGUGGAGCUUGCUCCAUGAUUCAGCGGCGGACGGGUGAGUAAUGCCUAGGAAUCUGCCUGGUAGUGGGGGACAACGUUUCGAAAGGAACGCUAAUACCGCAUACGUCCUACGGGAGAAAGCAGGGGACCUUCGGGCCUUGCGCUAUCAGAUGAGCCUAGGUCGGAUUAGCUAGUUGGUGAGGUAAUGGCUCACCAAGGCGACGAUCCGUAACUGGUCUGAGAGGAUGAUCAGUCACACUGGAACUGAGACACGGUCCAGACUCCUACGGGAGGCAGCAGUGGGGAAUAUUGGACAAUGGGCGAAAGCCUGAUCCAGCCAUGCCGCGUGUGUGAAGAAGGUCUUCGGAUUGUAAAGCACUUUAAGUUGGGAGGAAGGGCAGUAAGUUAAUACCUUGCUGUUUUGACGUUACCGACAGAAUAAGCACCGGCUAACUUCGUGCCAGCAGCCGCGGUAAUACGAAGGGUGCAAGCGUUAAUCGGAAUUACUGGGCGUAAAGCGCGCGUAGGUGGUUUGUUAAGUUGGAUGUGAAAGCCCCGGGCUCAACCUGGGAACUGCAUCCAAAACUGGCAAGCUAGAGUAUGGCAGAGGGUGGUGGAAUUUCCUGUGUAGCGGUGAAAUGCGUAGAUAUAGGAAGGAACACCAGUGGCGAAGGCGACCACCUGGGCUAAUACUGACACUGAGGUGCGAAAGCGUGGGAGCAAACAGGAUUAGAUACCCUGGUAGUCCACGCCGUAAACGAUGUCGACUAGCCGUUGGGAUCCUUGAGAUCUUAGUGGCGCAGCUAACGCA
rnacentral:rRNA from 1 species